GGAUUAGAUACCCUGGUAGUCCACGCCGUAAACGAUGGUCACUAGUUGUUGGGGCUUUAUGCUUCAGUGAUUAAGAGAAAUUGAUAAGUGACCCACCUGGGGAGUACGAUCGCAAGAUUGAAACUCAAAGGAAUUGACGGGGGCCCGCACAAGCGGUGGAGCAUGUGGUUUAAUUCGAUGAUACGCGAGGAACCUUACCAGGGCUUAAAUGUAAGUUGCAUAGACCAGAGAUGGUCUUUUCUUCGGACUACUUACAAGGUGCUGCAUGGUUGUCGUCAGCUCGUGCUG
rnacentral:rRNA from 1 species